rnacentral:rRNA from 1 species
CUACGUGCCAGCAGCCGCGGUAAUACGUAGGGUGCGAGCGUUAAUCGGAAUUACUGGGCGUAAAGCGAGCGCAGACGGUUACUUAAGCAGGAUGUGAAAUCCCCGGGCUUAACCUGGGAACUGCGUUCUGAACUGGGUGACUAGAGUGUGUCAGAGGGAGGUAGAAUUCCACGUGUAGCAGUGAAAUGCGUAGAGAUGUGGAGGAAUACCGAUGGCGAAGGCAGCCUCCUGGGAUAACACUGACGUUCAUGCUCGAAAGCGUGGGUAGCAAACAGGAUUAGAUACCCUGGUAGUCCACGCUGUAAACGAUGUCGAUUUGGGGGUUGAACUUUGAGUUUGGCGCCCGUAGCUAACGUGAUAAAUCGACCGCCUGGGGAGUACGGCCGCAAGGUUAAAACUCAAAUGAAUUGACGGGGGCCCGCACAAGCGGUGGAGCAUGUGGUUUAAUUCGAUGCAACGCGAAGAACCUUACCUACUCUUGACAUCCAGA